rnacentral:rRNA from 1 species
GUGGGGAAUAUUGGGCAAUGGGCGCAAGCCUGACCCAGCAACGCCGCGUGAGGGAAGAAGGUCUUCGGAUUGUAAACCUCUGUCCUUGGGGACGAAAAAAAUGACGGUACCCAAGGAGGAAGCUCCGGCUAACUACGUGCCAGCAGCCGCGGUAAUACGUAGGGAGCGAGCGUUGUCCGGAAUUACUGGGCGUAAAGGGUGCGUAGGCGGCUUGGCAAGUCAGAUGUGAAAUCCCCGGGCUUAACGCGGGAGUUGCAUUUGAAACUGCUAGGCUUGAGUGCAGGAGAGGAAAGCGGAAUUCCUAGUGUAGCGGUGAAAUGCGUAGAUAUUAGGAGGAACACCAGUGGCGAAGGCGACUUUCUGGACUGUACCUGACGCUGAGGCGCGAAAGCGUGGGGAGCGAACAGGAUUAGAUACCCUAGUAGUCC